AAAGGAACUAGGUAGAUGCACAAGGCAGAACAGCAGAGAUACAGAAUUUAUAGGUCUGCUUACAGCUCUGCCACAAAACUUUGACAGCUUAAAUUAAAAGUAAAGGAUGGAUUAACUGUAUCAGUAUAUACAGUUAAUGUAGUUUUAUUUCUUUACCACUUUGCAGUGGUAAGUCAAAAAUGAUAAAAAAAAAUGCAUCCUUUCAAAAGAGCUGAUUGUGAAGCCCUAGUGAUUGCUCUGAAUUACAGCCUCCAGGACAGCAAAGUCAGGAAUUCAAGGCAAGAAAAUCCAUUUCAAUCUGAAUAAAAUGACAGGCUACCCCAAUUUAGUGGAGAUCUCAUCAGUUCACCCAGGAACCAGAGGAUUUAAUUCCCAUUUUCAAGGACAAACCAACCCCCAGAUCUUUCCACCUCUGGGAGCAGGAACGAGGAAUACGUCACUGAACUCAAAUUGCAAGAAACUUUCAGUAAGCAAUGUGCAAUCCCAGCCCGGGGCUUGGCUGGAGCCUCGGCCUGACGCCUCCGCUCCCACCGAAGCUGUCGUGAUCCUGGAGUACGCUCCUUGGCAAGAUGCUCGCAUUGCGGGACACCCCUCCUGCACUGGAAGACAGAUUCAGCCCACUUAGCACCGCUACUUUUAAUGAGCAACCCCCCUCGUUGCAGCGUCCUGCUGGUGCAUUCCCAUGUGAAACCUUGCACGUGGCCAGCCCCCUCCCUCGCCGGUUAGUCUUCAGAUCAACAUCUGCACGCGUCAAAAGUUUCUGGAGAAGUAGGAUUACCUGAGAAGUCCGACAAGGCUUCAGACAGUGUUGUCCACGUUGAAAAGGCAUGGGGUAACCCUGCCCGUGCAGGAGGUCCUUCCUCAUUUUCUGCAAGGAAAACAGCACCUGCUAACAGAGCUCCAGAGCCUACAGACUGCUAAGUGCCUCCCCUAGUAUUCACAGCAGUAUGAUGAUCUCCUCCUGAACUGUUAUGCCAUCUGGAGAACUUGUGGUAUGUACGUGGUAUCCCUUCCUUGAGAGUUAUCUUGCUUUGCUCUCAGGACAUGGGAAGAUUUUGUAGUAAUUUAUGGGCUUUAUAUUUAACAUUAAACACGGAUGGUAUCUUUUGCGUUAUUUAAAUCUUUUCUUUAUCUCUUUGCAGCAUGUACAAAAUGUGUUUUCUCUUGUCUCCUGCUUUCUGGGGCAAUACAGAAUAUUUCCCCAAAAGCUAUGCAGCCCUGAGCCACCUGCCAGAUUCCCAUGUAUUAUAAUAUUUUCGGCCAGCUGCUGUGGUAGCUGUUCAUGCCAAGGGCAAGAAUUCCCCUGCUCCGGUUUUAGCUUUCGCACGGUCCAGAGCCUGCUUUCAGCCCGUGCUGAACUGUAAGGCCUGAGUCAGCGAGAGUUAAAAUAAAAGGUCAAACUUCCCCGAGCGCGUAACCAGUUGGUGGAGCCCAGGUAUCAUGUCCUGUCCUCCUGUCCCGGGUGUCAGUGCAAUGCGUCCCCUUUCUCCCCUCUCCAGUGCUCUAUCCCAGGCCUUUACGGGGGGUGUGCUAGGCAGAACAGCAAAUAUAUAGGCAUAGGGAUACGGGAGGAGAUGUUUGGCAGCAAACGCUGACAUGGCUGAUUGCUGGGAGCUGGUGUUGUACCUCUGGCUGGGCCACUCUUAACCCCAGCUCUGCCAGGGACACGCCACUGAACCGGGUGAAUUGGAAUUUUUUCCUGUUUUAAGAUCUAAUCCUGGCUUUGCCACACCUUUCUUUUCUUUUUUUCUUCCCUUUUUUUCCUUUUUUUUCCCCCUUUUGUUUUCUUUUUUCUUUUUUUUUCUUUUUUCUUUUUUCUUUUUUUUUCUUUUUUCUUUUCUUUUUUCUUUUCUUUUUUCUUUUUGGUUUUUUUUUUCUGUUUUUUUCUUCUUCUUUUCUUUUUCCCUUUUUUUUUUUUUUUACUUUACAAAUGGAUAUCAAAUAGGCUUUUAUUAAUGGGGUUUUUUGGUGCCUAGCAUUUCUAAAUGGUUUGCAGUUUUCUGGUGGACACGUCACUUCCUCGUCAGAGUACUCAGAGGUAUUUGGGAGUGUUCAGAAAACAGUAGCCUACUUCCAAGUGACCAUUUGUUUUGGGCGCCCAGUUCAAAACAUAUGCUGGGUAUGGAGUUUUGAUUCUUUGGAAAUUCCUGACAUUCCCCUCUGGAAGUCAGAUGUCUCAGACGGGACAUCCAAGAUCAUUGGCUGCUUUUUGAAAAAAAAAAAAAAAAAAAAAAAAAAAAAGUCAGGCCACAGUGCUCCAGGAAUAUAUUUAAACACACUCAUGUCCACAACACAGGAGAAACACCAGCGCUGCCUAAAGAGCUUGUUUCUGCUGACUGCUGAUACAAAGGAAGAUCAUAAUUAAUGACUUUGUAGGCACUGUCAGAAAGCAUCGUAAACAUGUAAACAUGUACACAGAGAAACUUCCUGCUCAAAACUAGUUUAGAUCUGAGCAAAGUUAUCUUUUGUGCUGAGCUAACCCAGCUCAGUGAUUAUUUCCAUUUGGGUUCUGAUCUCAGACAAGGUACAACAAUCCAGAAGAAGAGUGAUCCAAGUGGAAGGGAUAGAUUAACAACUCUAUGGGGGGAACGGGACAGUCAACACUGAUGAAAUAUAUGCUGUUGAAAUUGCUGGGCAGAACCUCUCUGGAUCCCUGCUCAGGAGGUGAAAAGCCUCAUCUCUUACUGCAGGAAAAGAAGAAAAGGUUGUGCUCAGCCACUGAAAAGGUCCAAGUGGAGAAGGGGACAUCUGGGAACAAGCAACUUACUGCCGCGUGUAGCUGCAGAGGUUCUGGUGUUGUAGAACCGGGCUCCCACCAACACAGCUGGGAGCUGUGGAGAAGAAAUGCUAGAGGGGCCUUUCCAUUUCAGUGGCUCUCCCUCAACAUUCUCCAGAUUGAGCUCUUUGCCACAUCUGCAGUAGCUGUGGAGACAUCCUUUCUCAGGAAGCAGUGCAGGGCUAAGGAAGGUUGAGCACUUGGACUGCAAACACAAAUGGUGUCUUUUUCUUCCUUGUGGUCUGAACAACUGGUCCUGCUCACUCUCACCUUUUUCCUGUUCGUGCUGGUCCUGGCUUUUUCCUGUGAAGCAUCUCUCCCUUGUGAAGUAAGCAGUGCUUUAAAAGGAAUUCUUCAGCAGAAGCGCAAGGGCAAAAAUGGUAUGACCAUUUGUCUUCAUAUGCAAAAAGAAAUACCAACGGCAAUUCUGAAGAAAUUCUUCAUUUCUGACCACUUCUUCCAUCUUGUAUUUCUUUGUAUCCUUCCCUUCAUACAUCCCCCCAACCCAGUUAUGAUUUAUUAAAUAAAUGCCCAAGCAUUACA